CACUUGGAUGGGACCGAAUGGACUGUCACUGUCCCACCCCAUCCACACUCCACUAAGGAAUCAAGGACCACAGAGAAGCUUAUCGUAGCAAAUCCUAUUGUCGUCAUAUUGACAUAACCGCAGAACCAUCAGAAUCGCCCCCCCAAAACAAAAUCCUCCUUUGCCGCCCGAUUGCCCCAGCUCUCCUUCCUUCAUUCCUCCCGUGCUGAUGCUUUGCUUAGGGCUUUUCCAGCGAAAAAUAUCUGUGGCUCUGGC
rnacentral:lncRNA from 1 species